CUUCUUUUCAAGGUUUUUAGGGUUCUUGGGUUUUGGCGAUGGCGCUGGACAGUCGGCACCACGCGUUCAUCCAAUCGCUCCUGGCGCGGGGGCCGCAGCCGGCUGUGGAUUGCAAGAAAAUGUUCCAGAAGCUGUUCGAUGCUCAACCCGGAGAGGUGGAGGAGAAUUUUUUCGAUUUUCUCAAGGUGUACAACAAGCACCUCGAUUUUUUCCAGCUCGAGAUUAGGGGCAGCACCAAUCAGCACGAUGGAACCCAGUACUAUGGAGUGGUGAACAAGCUUGCUAGUGAGCCAGCCAAGCUAGCGACGCAAUACACGCCCGCUCAGAUCGCUUACUUCAAAGCUCUGGUGGAAGCCAUCGUCCAAGAACCAUCUGGCGAGCUGUCCAGUAUAGAUGCGCUCAAUUUGCGAGAAGAUCAAACUCGAGAUUCACAAGAAGCAAGUUCCUCCCAGUCUGUAUCUCUACCGAAACUUAGUUUGGCUCAGCGUGACAAAGUUUUAGGCGAUCUGGCUGCUGAUAAGUGGCUCUAUAGGACAGAAGAUGGCGGUGUUUCCUUGGGGAUUAAGUCUUUUCUGGAGCUCCGGAGUGUUUUCAUGAACCUGGAAGUACCGUUCUGUGAUGUCUGCAACGAAGCAGCGAUAAAGGCUAUGCGGUGUCAAAACGAGGAUUGCUCAGCUCGAAUGCAUAGUUACUGCGCUAAAACUAAGUUCCAAAGGCCCGAGAUUCCGAGGUCUUGCGCUAGCUGUGGCUCCGAGUGGGACUGUGAAGGACUGGGUCUGAACGAGGACAUCCAGCCAGAACCUGCCGAGAACGAGCAAAGGACCAAGAGACGGAGGAGAGCCAGAAGCUAACUUCUUUUCUUCUACAGCAACAGGAACGGGCAUAGUAAUCUAAGUGGAGGUUGCGACGGCCUUUGCACCCUUGUAAGCGUGCUGCAGGAGGACUCUGUCAGAUAGUGUCGAUGAAACUCAUGUUGUUGUGACGAACACUGCGCUGAAAUCUUGGAGGAUUGCACUUGCAACUGUCGAGAACGGCAAGGACUGCAAGGACAAAGAACCAAUGCUGAAGUUUUCCUUUUGGCUUUCUGCAUCACGAUGGCACACUUCUGCUGCCAAGAACGUCAUAGCAACAGUUUGCGACCGCUUCGUCGCUAUUCCAUCAUUUACAAUACGAGCAAGAGCAGGAACUUUCUCGCCACAAAUGAUCGCAAGCUCGACCAUAAUCUCAGAAAUCUUUACCGCUUUGGCGAAGCACCUCGACCCUGGCAUCACGGUUCCAGAUUCUUACCGCUUCGAAGAAGUCCAUAGUAAACGAAGCUCCGGCCGACACGUUUUCUCUCUUCGUUUUUCCUGCUCGUUGGGAAGUUGGCGACGAGCCUCGCGUUCACGAGUACAGGAAAGACCGCACGUAUGGAAAGCUGGCCGGGAUGAAAGUUCACAGCAAACUAUAUCUUAUAAAAACCAUUCUUGCCGUUGGCAAGCUUACAGUU